rnacentral:lncRNA from 1 species
CCCCAUCCAAAAGAAUAACGUAAUAAAAUGGUGACUUUGUGAACCGAAGAGAAGAUUAUGAAAAGACUCUAUGCAUAGAAAAUUGCACUUUUCAUUUUUUAUAGUCAACUUCACUUUUCUCCCUUUUCUAAGCAUGCUUGAAUGUUCCUUUAGAUUCCAUAAAUCAACAAAGACCUCAUUUUUUCUUGAUACCUAUUAAACUAUGAUCUUCCUUAUCUUGAAUGUUUUUUCUACUUUUGUUAGUAUGCAUUGAAUGAUAUGCGAAAAAACACAUGUAUAAUAUCUAAUACAAGCUAUUAAACAUAUAUUUAAUGUUUUAGAAGACUUUUGUUUUGUAUUUAUUUAAUUUCUUUCUAAUAAUAAAAUGUCCGAGAAAGGUGUCCAGUACUAAUUCUAUACUGCUUAUCAGUUAAUUGUGGAGGGUUUUGAAUUGGAAACUAUGGUGGUAAAAGCUCUAGUUCGGAUACAUGAGAUCAAGGGUUGACCUAGGGUUGAUAUUAUCAACUAUUAUCCGAGUAAUUGGAUAUUGUUUUUUGAUCCUUUUGUAUAUUAAUUAUUUGUAGACCUAGAACAAGCGAAAAGAAUCUGAAAAUGGAAGAUUCAAGUUCGUCGGGUAUUCAAAUGUUGAUUCGAGGUAGGUGAUAAUUGUGAUUGUGUGAUGUAUGUUUGUUCAUUAUUCAUUACGAGACUUGUAUAUAUAUAUAUGAAUGUUGCAUUAUUGAUCACACUUGUUGUAAAAGAGAUAGAUGAAUGUCUAUAUGCAUGGAUCACUUCUUGAUUGUAUAACUUGAGAGUGUAUUUGUGUUUGUGAUUGUGGUGUGUUGACGGAUUGGAUUGCCACAUUAUGGCAUAACUAACUAGGAUCAGAUUGUCAUGUACUGACAUAAUGAUGAGAUCAUAUUACGACAAACCUAAAUAGGAUCACAUUGCCAUAUUCUGGCGUAACUAUGGGAUCGGGUACCACUUUCUGGUAUGCUAAUUGUUUGGGUUUGAAUUUGAUGAAUCCUCAAAUCGGACUCAUCUAGGGCCUUAUUUUAAUGAAAGAGUGUCCUCAAUUUGUGUAUUUUAUCUCAAUAUCUGAUAAAAACUUUUAAGUUUCAGGUAUUUGGGGAUUUUGUAGGAGCAUUGACAUUUAAGUGCUAAAAUAGAAGAAAACAACUGAAGAUUCAAAGUGCGCAUCACCAAGCACACUUGGCGAUACGCCAUAUAGCAAAGUUUUUCCUUCUGCUACAACAAGUGAGCCUUGAAGGAAGUGGAUCAAAAUGUGACAAAAAGAAGCAGUCGAUGCUUUGCCAAAUAGUUCUCCGAAGUAGAGUUAUUUUUCCCAACCAAACCGCAUGCAUGGAUAUUGAGGCAAGAACAAACGGCGACAAACCAAAGAAAGGGCUAGUCACCUAAUCGCUCGGUGAUUCACGACUAAAAACGACGAAUGGAUCCACCAUCACUAAAUCUGAAGUCUAUAAAUACUGAAAUCUUUUAUUGUUAAAAGAAAAUUUUAGAGUGUAAAAAAUAUAUACUUUUUAUUUUAGAAACUUUAUUCUUAAUUUGUCUCUCAAAUUUGGAGAGGGUUUUGAGGAAGCUUGAAGAAGAAGUUCUUCUUCCAAUCUUGGAAGUGGGUCUUCUCCAUUUACCUUCGUUUGCUAUUUUUUAGGUUUAAUAUCUUAUACCCACUUGAUUCCUUUAUCAUUUUAAGUAUAUUUAAUUAAUGUUUGAUGUGUGUCUAAAAACCCCCAUUCUUGGAGUGUGAUUUAGCAAAUGUGUGUUGAUAUUACAAUUAAGUCUUGCUUGCUUAUACGAUUAGAUGUAUUGUAAUGGUGAUUUAACGUAGUGCUUGUGGUUUAAUUUAAUUGUUUUUAGUUUUAAAAUAAAAGAGCAUUCAUGUAUUUUCGGAUUGCCCAAAAGGGAGGUUACAAAACAAGGACCACUAGAUUGAUGGGCUAAGGAGUAAUUCGAAAUAAGGUUCAGCCCGAGAAGGUAAUCCCUACUCCCUUAUCCAAGCACCCUCAAUCAAAUGGUCAGGGUGUGGGUAAGGCAUAUGUUGGUUGUUUUAGACGAGUGGUUUCCGACAUGAACCCAUUUUAUAUGGUCUAAGUUUCCCGAGAGGGAACUUAAAUUUACCUAAAGCAUAGCCUAGUAACCAUUGUCUAAUGAAUUUUCAUAUAAAAAGCAUGUACACUUUUUUUGUGUCAACAUAUAUUGCGGUCACACCUCAAGAGAUCUCUCCCAUACUUAUUUUGUCCUUUAUUGUUUCUAUUCUAUUACUUGUGACAAAACUCUUUUUUCUUGUUAUUUGACACUUUGGUGUCACAAAUUGAAUCUAAUUUGUGUUUAACUCGAAAAUGGUCUUGAGCUAUCACUAUUUAGAACGGAAUUCUAAGUAGCCACUAAUUUCAUUACCACUCCGUUGGGACACAACUCCAACACUUGGUUGGGUUACUUUACUAGCUUCGAUUCGUAAACACUCAAACAUUAGGUUAGUGUCGUUGAUCACGAAAUGUAACACUCCGAAAUUCCAUGACCUAAUAUAGAGUCUCACAUGAUGAACUAAUACUUGUAAAAGUGUUUAUAGACCUAAGACAAUGUAUUAAAAAUAUUUGGGAAGUGUUAAAGUAAAAACGUCAAGAAACGUCCAUGACGUUUGGUGAAAUGUGAACUAGUGUGUUUUUACAUAUUUCAUGGGGUUUUAAGAGUCGGAAUUAAUGAAAAUGAGUAAAAUGUGUUAAACAUAUAGAAGAGUGUGUUUAGGAUCAAACGUCAGGGUACGACUUCUCAAGGAUCAUCCAAAGGGUCCUUGGAGAGGACCCUUGAAUUUGACCAAAAGCUGUCAAAUGGACAGUGGCGAAAGGACAGAAAAAAGGAUUAGUCGUUGAUGGGUCAACGGCUCGUCGAUGGAGUUAUAGGUCCAGCCUAAGCCAAUUAAUCAAAAUUGUCAAAAUAACCAGUCUUUGUCCCAAACCACGGACAAGCAGGACGGUCCGUGGUCCAGUCGACGGCCUGUAGGCCGGGUCUCGUCAAUCCGGGUCGAGUUUGACAAUCAAAUUUUAUGUUAAGGGACUUAAUUAUUUAGUUGGUUAAUUAAUGGUUAAGGGAGGUUUAAUUAAGUCAGUUGAGGGACUAUAUAAGACCUAAACCUCAUUACACUAACCUAACACCCCCACAAUUCCCAAACACAAAUUCUCUCCAACUUCUCUCUUCUUUCUCUCUCUAGUGCAACACCCCAUUGAAGAACAAUUCAAAGCUCGUGUAGGAAUUCAACACUUCACCUUUUCUCCAUCAAACACUAAGGAAUCCUAAUGUAUGGAAGCUCUUCACUCUUGGGAUCUCUUUCCCAAAGAGGAUCUUCAAAAAUGAUUUCAAAAGAUGUCAAAAAUAUGUGUUUCUUCUCAAUUCGUGAAUUGGAUUUAAAUUUGAUUUGAUGUUGGUUUCUUUUGAUUAUUAGUGAGGGAUUAUGAUUAUAUAUUGAUUUAUUUUUGUACUUCUAUGAUAGAAUCUAUGAAUUAAAUCUUUUACCCUAACACUACCUAUUAAUUGGACUUGUAGAUGAUUAGGAUUAUUGAGAAUUGGUUAUGUUAUUGUUUGAUUCACUCUAUUAGGAUGAUGAUGAGUGGAUUAUUGUAUAAUUGUGAUGAAUUGAGGGUGAGAUUUUUGAUGAAGGACAUGGAGGCUAUUCGGUAAGACUUUGUUAUCUUGAACUCUUUGCUUCAAUAAUGAUGGAUUAUAAUUGGUGACAAUGUUGUGCAACUGAUGUAAUAUAAUUGAUUAGAUUAAGAAGAUUAUGAUAUGAUGAAAUUUCUUGACUAUAUUAAUUUUGAGAUCAUGUUUAGGGUAUGUUGAUACAAGGUUGAAUAUGAUCCACUUGUGUGCCUUACUAUGAUAUGAUUAUAAUAUGUUGAUCUCACGAAUGAAAGGUUGUUAUGAAAGGACAUUCUCAUGUAAUACAUAAUGAGCUAAUAACAUGAUAUACAAGGGGUUAGUCUCCUAUGAUCUAUACUAAGCUGUGAUUAUUAAUAUGACUUAAAGAUAUUUCAAAAAGGGAGUUUAACUUAGCACCACAUGAACUUGAUAACGAGGGGUGUUGACUAUCCAUAGAAGGUAGAUUCACCAAGCAUUCUCAUUAGAUGAGGGUUCCAAUUGAUAAUGGUCAUGUAGAGGUUUCAAGAUAUAUCUCCUAGUUCCUUAACUAUGUUGCCUCCAUAGGAAUACUAGCUCGUGGAUCCACAUAGAAUGUUAUGUUCAUGUUUUGGUCCUACCUUGGCAAGUAGAUCACCUUCUUUUGGUGUAGGGUUUCAUAACUUGGAAUUCUAUAUUUAGCUCACAUGGUCUAUGUCGGUAAGGCGAUUAUUCCCGAAAGUAAAAUACAAGUAAUUAAGUGAACACUAGCUAGGGUGAUGUAAGGGGUUUUGACUCUACUAAUGCAUGGCACAAGUGGUCCUUUAGGGAAGUCCUAGGAGUUUGUUCUUAUGUAAUUAUGAUAUGUAUGAAUUUUAUAUGAUGACUUUACAUGCUGAUGAACCUAUAUGAUAUUAUUUUCAUUGGUGAACGUUAUUGGUGUAUAAUGAUUUACGUGCUUAUGAACAUGAAAGAUAUGAAGAUAUAUGAAAUGUUGACAUUGCUUAUGAUCCUUUACUUGGUUUACUUGACUAUGUGGGGUUAUGGGGCUUUACAUAGGCAUUGCACUUUGUAGGCUUGGGAAGGGGUUGUGAGUAAGGGUCUGAUAUAUAUGUUGUUAUCUUAUGAACUCUUGUACAUGAAUUGUUGCUAGGACAUUAUGCUGGAGUUUUUUUUAUACUUAUAUGAUCUUUAAAUGAUGUCAUUCAUGAUAAAAUGACCUUAUGUUUAUAAUACAAUGUUGACUUGACUUUGUGAUGGUAUUGGUCUUCUGUUGAAUAUGGACUUGCCUUGAGUAUUAUUUUGUCUAUUGACUUGUAUAUGAUUCAUAAGUGUGCAUAAAGGCUUUCGAAAGUGACUUAUCAUGUAUUUGAACUAAAUGUACCUUUAAGCAUGAUUUUAAUUAUUUAUGUGCAUAUGUUUCCACACUUAGUACAUGUGUUUGUACUAACCCAUACUAACCCGUAUUCUUUCCCUUUUCCCAAACAAUGUAGGUUCGGGAGAUUGAGGGGUAUCAAGGUCGCUUGCAAGAAGACAUGGACUUUUCUCCAGGUUUUUGUAGGUCCUCGAGUUCGAGGAUGGUGCCACAUACUCUACCUUAGUAGUUUCACUAUAGUAUAAAGACAUUCAUUUCUUUCCUUGUGUUGAAGAUAUUAUUAUAAGACCUAUUUGACAAUCAUGGAUUUGUAUAAGGGAUAUGCCCUAAUGUUCUAAUGAGUUUUACAUGGUUUAAUGUGAGACGAUAUUAUUAGAUUAAAUCCUUAUUUGUCGGUUAUAUUGUCUAAACGUGAAGCCUAUAUAAGCUUCAUAUGUGAGGAUCUAAGUAAACUCCAUAUGUAGUAUGUGAGAGGUCUAUGUACACCUCAAUAUGUAAAAUGUUUUAAUUUUUCCUCAUUUUAACCUAUGAUAUGUUAUGACGAAUGCUAAGAGGAUAUUCUAAGUCCUCUCCGAGAAUGAUGACGAUGUCGGUUACGUCUAAGGGGUGAUCCCCGGUGGUGACACGAAAUAUAAAAGAUACACAUAUUGAAACAUCAAAAUGGCACCACUUCCACAAAGUUUAGUUACUUCUAACUAUAGGUUUUGUUGGCACAGUUGCAUAAUAGUGGUCUAAUUACUAAAGCUACUUUGCACAAUGAUUUUCUUCUUCCGAUGUAUGAAUUUUAAGUGUCUAUCAUUCUCUAGCUUGCUGCCUGUUUCUAUUGGUAAGAUAUUUGUAUACCUUAAAUAGGAUUUGAGUGUUCAAUACUGAUGUAAAUUUGAUCGUGACUUAGCCCCUAAAUAAUAGGGAUUUUGAGACAUAAAUUAAUGUAUGUGUGUGUAUUGUACAUCCAUUUUGCUAGUUUUAUCAUUAUUUUUCAUGGAGUAUGUUUGCUAAUUGAAGCAUAUGUUCAUGCAUUGUACAUUCAGCAAGCCACAUCUGGGCAGAUUGCUUCAGGUAGAAUGCCCCUCAUUGUUUUUGUCCUCUGAAAUGUUUUUCUUUUUUUGAUACUCAGAUUGUUAAAGUGCUUCCGUUAUUUCAUAGUUUGUUGCUCAGACAAUGAAUGUUCUUUUGCUUUUUCUUUGUUUGUUGUCUAGGUUGUGAAUUUGUUCAUAAUGCAGUGUCUUUUGCAUAACAGGGUCAUUGGUAUUUUCACAUAGCUUUUUUAUGUAAUAUUUUGUUAGAGUAUGAGAAAUUGUUUGAUCUCGUGAUGUUUUUAUCAUUUUAAUUUCAUCUUUUGACUCAUUUAUUUUAUUAUUUCAUGUCAUGCGGUAUGAUUUUCAAAUAAUGCCUAUUAAAUAUUUCAAUAGGGUGAACCAUUGUGGAAAUUCGUUGAAGACACUAUUUUAUUGGAUUUGUUAUAUAAUGAUACUAGUUUGUUAAAUAUAAAUUUAGUUUUAAAGUUACGAUACUAUAGUUUGGAUUAAAAAUUAAUUUUUUUUAUAUUUGAUGAGAUGAAUUACAUUCAAUGAAGUACAUUAUAUGUUUUUUUGAAUUUUUCAAACAUCAUCACAUCGAACAGGCACUCUUUUGAUUAGAAUUUUAUUCGAUUUAUCGGUAGAAGUGCAAACUAGAUAAUUUUAUAAAUGGAUGUGGUCAUUAUUAUUUAAGGCUAAAUUUUUUUUGUUAAAGUUUGUUAAUUUUAGCAUCAAACAAAUUGAAUUUUCUAGACUAAAACAUUGGACAGUAAAUGGGGGAAACUAACAUGGUUUCAAAAGGAUAUUCUAGCCUUUAUAAUUAGCACAAAACCUAUGUCAUUAAAGAUAUGAACUUUUAGUAGCAUCUUGAUGAAAUUUACAUGCAAUCAAAAUGGACACUACAUGAACAUGAUUAUCAUAUUAAAUUUUAUUUAAAACCUUUAUUUAUGGCCACUAGAACUAAUGCGCUUUAGCAUCAAUUUAGUAGGCUUACCCGCUAUAAGAAUUGACACUACAAAAUAUAACUACUAUUUUUUUUUUGGAUUUAACAUCCAUCUAAAUUGCCACAAGCAAUUCCCACUAGAACAAAUGUGUUUUUGUGACAAUUUAGUUGGUUUUAAUUUCUAUUUAAAUGGAUGCUACAUGAGAAACCUACCUCUUUGAAUUGUAUUAUGUAGCCUUUUUAAUUGCCGAAACCAAUUGACACUAAACUUUACUUCUAAAUGGCUGCAAAAGUCUUUCCCGGCCCUUGAUACAACGGCUAAAGGGCAUUGGCUGGUAAUGGCUAUAGCAGCCAUAGUUAUGGAUGCUAAUGCCAUUUUUAAUUCCCUUAUAUCCCUUUUUGUAUUAGUGACUCUGUCCCAGGUAUGUUGGUCCACAUAUAAUUUCCUGGUAUGUUGGUCCAUAUAGAAUUUCCAAGUGGAUUGGAAAAUAGCUUAUGAGUUUGAGCUAUCAGAAGAGUUAGUUGCGGUUCAUCUGGUGUUUCAUGUCUUCGUGCUGAAAAAGUGCAUGGAUGAUCCUUCCUUCAUCAUAGCACCUGAGACUAUUGAGAUCAAAAGGCAGCAUCAGUCAAUGUAAUUUUGAGGAACUAAUUUGUUGAAGAAGCUACACGGAAAGCGAAAUUGGACAUGAAAAAACGAUAUUUGCUUCUUUUGGAAUUCGGAUAAAAUGCACACCAAGGUACUAAGUUUCUUCUUACUACUAUCUAAAUUUUGAGUAAGCAUAUUCUUUUUGUUGCAAUUGUUUGUGGAUGUAUGAACUUGAUGUUGCUACCCUAAGUCUUGUAAGAGUAACCUCAUUCCAGGAUGAAUGAUCCGAGGGGGAGACAUUUCAAAAUCUCGCAACUAAAAAGAACUAGAAAAGAGUUCAAAAUCUGAAAAUACUCAUUUUGAAAAAAAUAAGAAAAUCUGAAAAUUUUAAGUAAGUUAAAAUGUGUGUUUUGGUCAUCUUCAAAUGACCAUAACUCUCAGCUCAGGAUGUGUUAGGUGUAUUUACAAAUAUGGUUGGAAAGACCUUAGAAUAAUAUUUUCAUCCGAGUUUGCGCGAUUCUUAGUUCAGAUGAGUUAGUUAUUCCUUUCGGAAGUUGGGUUGUCGGAUUAACGAAAACCCAAUUCGAAUUUGGGAAUGACAAAGUUGUAAUCCGAAUUUGGGAAUGACAAAGUUGUAUUUUUUACCUAAUUAAGUCAAUUCAUUUAUAGGAAUAAUUGGGGUUAAAACAGAUCUUUGUUCAUUUUAGAAAAAAAAGAAUUCACGCUAGGGCUAGUGAAUCCCACAAAACUCCUAAAUUUCAUCCCAGAACUACGAUGAAACCAGUUCUUAACCACCUUGAUCUUUUGAACAUCUACAUGGCAAAAAAAUAAGACCGAUUUCAAAGAAAAUUCAUACUUGAAAAAUUUAGCAUACAAAUUUUGCUUCCCAAGAACACCCAAAUCAGUGCAAAGAAUGUUGCCAUGUUCUUCUUCACUUUUCGAAUAACCCAAAAUAUUAACAAUAAAUUCUGUCACAAACGAAUCAAGAAAUGGUUUGAACACCCCAUUCAUCAAACUCAUAAAAGUUGUAGGUGCAUUGGUAAACCCAAACGACAUAACCUAAAACUCAUUAUGUACAUAGAGAGUUCUAAACAUCGUCUUGGGAACAUCCUUAGGCCUAAUUUUCAAUUGAUGUUCGCCGUAUCUUAGAGAAACUACUGCCCCUUGCAUUGGUUAAGGAGAUCGUCUAUUCGAGGCAAGGGAUGCUUGUUCUGAAUAGUGAUUCUAUUCAAUUGGCAGUAAUCUAUACACAUUCACAUGAUACUAUCCUUCUUCUUAACAAACAAAACUGGAGCACCCCAUGUGGAAGCACUUGGGCAAAUACACACACACACACACACACACACACACACUACACACAUAGGAGAUCAAAACAAAUAAAGAAUAACCAUAGACAUUAUAUCACAUAGAGAAAGGGAACAACGAAAAUUAAAUCGAGUGGUUCUUUUGUUCAGUCAAACACACAACAACAUUCAACAUAAUAAGAAAGAUUAAAUUUAAUCUAACGGAGAAACAACUAACCAGUUAAAGCAGAAAUUUAUCUGCAAUGAAGACAAACUCAAUCAAUUAUACGAUCCGAAUACAACAAAAUCGAUUGGAGAGCCCUCUUAGAAUUCACAAGACUUUUGUUUUAAAUUUUUUCUUUAGAGUUGAGAGAGUUUCUGAUAAUUGCUAAGUGAAAGCCUCCAACUCUUUUUCUGUUGGUUAAAGCAUAUCCUAAUGAGAAUGAGUCUUUUUGUGGUUGUUAAAGCCUAUCCUAAUGAGAAUGAGGUCAUCUCUUUAUAUAGUGGAGGAGAGCGCAUGAAAUAUAUGUCAAGAAACUAAUUAGGAUCAAUAACAUAUCAUUUUCCUUAUUAAAAGAAAAAACCAAAUCAGUAAUAUUAUUUGAAAUUAUUUUUUGCUCAAUCAAAUAUACUUUUACUAAAAUUUAAUAAUUGAGAAUCAAUUCAACUUCAAUCAAGUCAAUUAUGAUCAAUUAACAUUAGUAAAUAAAAUACAAAAAAAAGAUUACCUUACCCAAGAGACGAGAAAUCUGUCCGGAUUAGCACAAUACCAUAAAAAUCACUUUAGUAUCAAUUAAUCAAUUUCAAGCAAGGAUGUAAUAAUUAUAUUAAAGGAAGAAAACACAAGUCAAAAAGUGUUAACAAAUUCGUAAAAUAAUAUUUCACGACAAGAAAAGUGAAAUAUGUCGAGGAUCAAUCUAAACUCAAGUAGCAAUCUCAAUUAUCAUAAAAAUUAUUACCACUACUACAAGUAAAAUUGCAUAAAUCAAAGGGAUUAAAUGUCAUUAUUGGAGGUAAUAAUCAACAAGGACAUCUCAAGAUAAUCGGUGAUUUCAUAACUAAACUUAACAAGUUUAACCAAGAAUCAUCUGUCUAGGUAUUGUUAAAAAUACAGGAGCAAACUUCCACACAAUAUUCUUGUGAAACAGAUCAUGAGCUAAAUGAUCAAAAGCAACAAGCACAUCAAGGAGACUAUAAUUCAACUUCUAUCACACAUACACCGUUUGUAAAAUAUGAUGGUCAUAACUAGUAGUUAAAUUUUAUGACUAAGAGAACUUCUACACCAAAAAUGCAUAGAACUUUCAUCACAUUGCAGAUAAGAAGAAGAAUGAAAUUGCUAAAAUGAGAUAAUAAUUUUAAAUGAAAUCUACCCGAACGGAUCGUCAAAUAUCCAUCUUUUGACCAUUUUGAAACAUUCGAAAGCUUUACUGUCGUUCGUCUAGUUUACUGGUUCAGAGUUGUUGUCCAGAAAUAAGAGAGGGGACAUGAGGCAAGCGACUGGCCACUGCUGCUGGUGUCGUUCAGUUGUUGGCUUCACUGGAUCACUCAGGCCGGAGUUUGCCUGGUCGCUGAUCUUCUUCACCGGCUGGCUGCCAAUUUUGUGCAGGAGAUGGUUGUUGCUGUUGUUGUUUACGAUUCGCCGGCUAGUGGUGUUGUUUCAGCCUAAUGGAGUUCCUGGUGCUGCUGCCUUCACUGGAGUCUCUUGGUUGCAUCUUUUUCGUUGCUUCUAUGGCCGGUUGCUUUUGUUUGCCUCACUGGAGAAAGGAGAGGAGAGAAACAUAGGCAGACGACUGCUGGUCUUGCCGAAACUGCUGUUUUCCUCUCCUGGCUACUAUCCACCGCCGGAAAGGGAGAGAAGGAAGGAGAGAGAGGACAAGAGGCGAGGGCAUAAAGAGAGUCGUCGGUGGAGAGAAAAGGUGGGAGAGAGGGCGGAUAGAGAGGGAGGAAAGGAGGAGUAGAAAAAUAGAAUAUUUAGG